GUGGCCAUGACUUAGGCAGAAGACCAGGAAGGCUUCCUGGAUGCAGAGAUGCCUCAGCUGAGCUGAACCUUCUCUUAAACUCUGAAGAGAGAAGAGGCACAUUAAACUUGAAGAGCUGAACAAGUCCAGAAGGGCCGGGCAUGGGAACUAAGGGGUAGGAGAGACAGGAGCUGAGACACAGAAAAAAAUCAGACUAUGGUGAUUCCUCUAGGAGUAUAGGAGAAGAAACACAAUGUUUUUCCUCUACCACCUUAAAUUAUCUGAUUGGAGCCUUGUAAAUUAGUCUGUCAGACACAGAUUACUAAGAGAAAAACAAACACGUUUAUUAAAAUGUACAUCACACAAACACAAGGAAGCACCAGUGGUAAGUAAUUCAAAGGAGUGAUUAGAACUUGGGCUUCUUAUAGCGUGUUAAUAAGAGAACAAUACAUUUUCAGAGAAGCGACAAGACCAGGGUUGCCUGUGUGGCUCAGUUGUUAAGCUUCCAACUUCAGCUCAGGUCAUGAUAUCUUGGUUCGUCAGUUUGAACCCCACGUCUGGCUCCGUGCUGACAGCUCAGGGCCUGAAGCCUGCUUCGGAUUCUAUGUCUCUCUCUCUCUUUUUCUUCCCCUCCCCCUCUCACACUCUGUCUCAAAAAUAAAUAAACAUUAACAAAAAGUGACAAGACAAAGGAAAAGGACUUUUGAGUUUCUAGAGUGGCAAACUGUGGGAAGGUAUGUGUUCAGAGAACUAAUGGUAGAGGAUGGCUAAUUUCUGCAAGGUUUGUUAUGUAAAUUCCUCUGGUGCCAUCUCCAGGCUGAUAAGGGUCUGGAGUUUUCUCUGGUGAUUAACUUCUGUCCUUCCUGGUAGAGAGGGGAGUGGGGACAUUCUGCAAAGUUAUGUCCUGCUUUUAGGCAAAUAGGAGGGCAGAGAGUUUUUCUUGGAUCUGUUUCUUCUUAUUUGCCGUCCACUGAAAAUCAUCCUUACGCCAAUGUAGUACAUUUGAGGGCAAUGUAUUCUACUAGUCUUCUCCAGCUUUCAUUGACUAAAUUGUUAAAUAUUCUCAAUAGACCCGUUUUUUGUUUGUUUGUGUGUUUUCUGCUUUUUACAUAUAACUCACAUGCUAUAAAAUUUCCCCCUUUAAAAGUAUAUAACUCAGGGGCACCUGGCUGGCUCAGUCAGUAGAACAUGUGACUCUUGGUCUUGGGAUCAUGAGUUCAAGCCCCCUGUUGGGUGUGGAGUUUACUUAAUUAAAAAAACAUUUUAAAAAGUAUAUAACUCAAUAUUUUUAAUAUAUUCACAAAGUUGAGCAACUAUCACCACAAAUUCCAGACCACUUCAUCACCCCAAAAAGAAACCCUAGACUCAUUAGCAGUCACUCCUCAUCUGCCCCUUCCUCCAGCCCCACCACGAAUCUGCUUUCUGUCUCUGUGGAUUUGCCCAUUGUGGACAUUUCACAUCAACAGAAUCCAAAAUGUGUGCUCAUUGUGUGUGGCUUCUUUCACUUAGCGUGAUGUGGUUUUUUUCUGUUUUAAUUUUUUAAUGUUUAUUUAUUUUUGAGAGAGAGACAGAGUGUGAGCACGGGAGGGGCAGAGAGAGAGGGAGACACAGAAUCUGAAGCAGGCUCCAGGUUCUGAGCGGUCAGCACAGAGCCUGACAUGGGGCUUGAACCCAUGAGCCGUGAGAUCAUGACCUGAGCUGAAGUCAGACGCUUACUGACUGAGUCACCCAGGCACCCCUAGCAUGAUGUUUUUAAGUUCAUUAAUGUUAUGGCACAUAUCUAUUUCCUUCUAUGGCUGAAAAAUAUUCCCUGUGUGGCUCUGCCUCAGAAGACUUUUUUUUUUUUUAAGUUUAUUUAUUUUGAGAGAGACAGAGAGAGCAAGAGCACGCACAAGCAGGGGAGGUGCAGAGAGAAGGAGAGACAGAAUCCCAAGCAGGCUCCAUGCCAUCAGCGCAGAACCUGAAGUGGGGUUCAAACUCAUGAUCUGUGAGAUCUGAGCCAAGAUCGGGUCGGAGGCUUAACCAACUGCACCACCCAGGCUCUCCUGUCUCAGAAGACUCUUGAGAGGAAGAUGUUUGUAGAUGUUACAGGAGUGAGUGCUUUGCGGCCUGGCCUCAGUGUGAGAAGAGCUGUGCUUUUGUAUGACAGUCCACUGCCUGGGCUCUCCCCUCACUGGCUGUGUUACUGGGCAAAUCACUUUCUUUGUGCCUCAUUUUCCUCUCAUAAAUGGGGAUAACAGUGGUAAUGCUCAUAAAGUUUGUGAAUUAAAUGAGUUAAUACACUGAAAAGGCUUAGAAAAGUUCCUGGUGUAAAAGUCUAGUAGUUACUGGGAAGAAAAAUAGGUUGGCGGAUGCAGAGCUCUCCACUGACUAGCACAGUGCCCUUUAUUCCAGAAUCUUCCACAUGGCUACAUGGCUACUUUAUAAAACUUGAAAUUACAACAAGGUCUGAGUAUAAGAGGGAAUGAAUUGAAGACAGCAGUUUCUACACCUCUCCUAGGUGAAGGGGAACAGAACAUGCCACCCCAAAAUAUGCCACUUUGGCAUGUAGAUUAUUUUGACCUGAAGGCAAUCAAGUCCCAGCAGACUCCAGAAAAAACGUUUACCUCUCCCUUAAUUGCCUAAAAGAAUUUCCAUGGGGAGCCUGGCCCAGAAAGAGAGCUAUUACCAGAGACAAUUCUUUUUUUUUUUUUUUUUUUUUUUUUAAUCUGAAAGACUUACCCGCAUGGCAGGGCCAACAUCUGCUUAGCAAACAUUUGCUCUUUUCAUCUUCCUGCAGAUUGCCCUCCUCCCCUUUGAAGCCCCAGCCCUGUCCUUUUCCUUAGCUGAGGACGGCAUUAUUAGACCAGCCAAGGAACUACCCCGACAGUUUGGCGACCUGCAAGGGACCUUCACAGGCCAGACACCGCUUGCUCCAAGCCUGCUGCAGCUGACAGAGCUUGGGGCCUCUGACAAGAGCCAGCGGAAGAAUGCCGUGGAAUGUGCUGAGAUGGUCUACCGGGAGGAACGGAGUCUUCUGCAUUACGACCCCUCAGCCUAAGUGAAUGAGUCAAUCUAAUCCUGGCAAUGUGAGCAAAUCCACUUGAGAAUUACUCAGUCCUGAACUCCCCCCAAAUACAUGCUUGUCUAUUUUUCCUGUCCCCAAGUGUUCUGAAACACACCUGCCAACGAACUGAACUGUAUCCUGGAAAAUGGCAGCAUGGAGGAAUAAAUCCAAAGACUGUGACCUUUCUUCCUCUUUUCUUUAUCAGCCUGUGGCUUUUAGGCACCAAAUUUUGUGUUCUAAGUUUUUACACCCCCCUUCCCUACUGCCCCAAUCCAAUUACAGUGGUGGGCUGACUGUCUUGAGCUCCUUCAACACAGGGAAGCCAUCUCUGAGUUAUGUGGCCCUCAUAAUGAUCCAUUUCUCCUCCUGCUGCUCCCUGAGUAAACUGAAAUGGUAUUGUCCUUGUGCGUGGAUGGUAAGCUGAAGACAUUUCUCAGCCAUCUGGUUCCAACCUCAUGGUCUCUUGAACUUUGUAUAUUCCUAUUAGCUGUCCAUACCCAUCUUAUGUAUUCCCAAAUUCCCAUUAGCUAUGGCUUCG